ACUGAAAGCAUGUGAAGAGACGCUCGCCUUAGACCAGUAGCUCGUCGACAUAUAUUCAGGCCUGUAAUGAAUCCUUCCAGAGUAUUUAGGUCCUAAGACCUGAGAUACAGGGUCACAGGGGCUAAAGGUGUCCGGACCCUCGCCCACAAGUACAUCUAACUAUUCCUGUAGUUAUAAAUUCAAAUAAAAUCUAAUAAGAAAUAUUAUAAUACUAAUCAUACUAAUCAUACUCUAGUUAUUACUUACAAAAAUUC
rnacentral:lncRNA from 1 species